rnacentral:rRNA from 1 species
CGUGGGUAGCAAACAGGAUUAGAUACCCUGGUGGUCCACGCCGUAAACGAUGUCGACCAGCCGUUGGGUGCCUAGCGCACUUUGUGGCGAAGUUAACGCGAUAAGUCGACCGCCUGGGGAGUACGGCCGCAAGGUUAAAACUCAAAUGAAUUGACGGGGGCCGGCACAAGCGGUGGAGCAUGUGGUUUAAUUCGAUGCAACGCGAAGAACCUUACCUACUCUUGACAUCCUGCGAACUUGUGAGAGAUCACUUGGUGCCUUCGGGAGCGCAGAGACAGGUGCUGCAUGGCUGUCGUCAGCUCGUGUUGUGAAAUGUUGGGUUAAGUCCCGUAACGAGCGCAACCCUUGUCCUUAUUUGCCAGCGGGUAAUGCCGGGAACUCUAAGGAGACUGCCGGUGACAAACCGGAGGAAGGUGGGGACGACGUCAAGUCAUCAUGGCCCUUACGAGUAGGGCUACACACGUGCUACAAUGGCCGGUACAAAGGGUUGCGAGCUCGCGAGAGUCAGCUAAUCCCGAAAAGCCGGUCUCAGUCCGGAUCGGAGUCUGCAACUCGACUCCGUGAAGUCGGAAUCGCUAGUAAUCGUGAAUCAGAAUGUCACGGUGAAUACGUUCCCGGGCCUUGUACACACCGCCCGU